rnacentral:lncRNA from 1 species
AUAAAUAGGAUUGUAAUGUGUUGUGACAAAGUAACUUUGCUGCCGUGAAAGGCAGCCCCUCUUAUCCUUAAUGAAAUAUCAGUUUAAGUUCUUGUGUUCUUGGUGACAAAGCUAAAGUCUUUUCCUUUUUUUAAUUUUCUGCCUAAUAAAGCUACUUGAGCUAUCUCUAGUUUAUAUUCAAUAAAGUCCUUAAACACAUAAAUCAUCUUGUUCUUGAAAUGCUAUCAAUUCAGAUUAAACCACCGUUCUAACCAUUAGUGGAAAUCACCAAACUAUAUCCUAUCAAAGUUGAUUUUACCAUUUGCCAUUUCUGAUGGAUUACACCGCUUUAACAACAUCGACAUACGGGGAGAUGCUUGUUUCGCACAAUAACUCAGUUACCUUUCUAUUGCUUUGGCCUAUGAGUCAACUAAUGCAUACACAUUACAAGUCUGAAGUCUUCUAAGCCUAAUACAAUAAGAGAAGAAGAUAAGUAUGCGAGUAUAUUCUGUAUUUAUCCUAAUAAAGAAACAAAUCAUCUACCGUAUAAGACAUCUCUAAGUGUCAACGGACUUGAAAUGAUAUACCAACUAACAGACUUUCAAAUGUCACUUCUUGGCUCUUGCGUAUAUUUCUCAAAACCGGAAUAUUUAGUUAGUAUUGGAAAUGUAAAUGAUGAUUUUAUUUUAGUUUAUUUUCAGUUACACAUGUCAUACCGUAACAUCACAAUGGGAUAAUGUUUAUUCACGUGGUGUCUAGUGUCUAAGUGGGUGAAGGACGCUAAUCAUGAGUUUGUACUAGCAAACCCGUAAUUCCCAUGGCCCUAAUCAAAAUAUGUCGGACGCGACAAUAUAUAUUGUGUCCGGGUUCUUAGUUAAGCCAUUUGCUUUGGGAACUAGCUCCUAAAUUCAGUUCAGUCCUGAAAGAAGAGCAUUCAACCAAUAAAUUUUAAAAUAAAUAUAUGUAGAUAAUUAGAAAAGCAAUCACUAAUUUAAAUAUCAAAUGGCAUUAGCGGAAAAACAGUUUGUCGUUUGUUAAUCUAAAGUGACUAGAUGAAAAAAAAACAAUCGUUGUUGUAGAUGGGUUUGAACUGAAAUGGUGGAAAAGUGGUUGUGUAGAGUUUUAUGAGUUCACCACCAUAAUAAUAAGAAAAUAAUCCCAAAUGCAAACUCCAAAUAACUUCAAAUAUAAAAACAAGUCCUAACAAAUUAAUCAGAUCACAAUAGUAAAAGAAAAAUGCAGAAGCCAGCGAACCUAUACAGUAAGAGAAUUGAAUUAUUUUGUGAAGCAUCAACAUAAAUGGUUAUAAUUCUCAGACCCACACUUUUACAUGUAAAAAUUUUUACCAAAAAAAAAAAAAAAAUUCUCAGACCCACCUAAACCUACACAUUAUUACUACAAUUUUUAUCUUUCGUUUUUCUUUUGUUUUUCAUAUUUUUCAGUCUCUAAUCAAUUUUUUUUCAUCUCCUCUUAUUUCUUCUUGUGGGUCCUCUUCUCCCUGACCAGUGACCUCUGUGCAUCUCCACGUUUUACUAAUAGCUUUGCUGUAUCUACUGUUACCACUCUUAUUAUUACUCAAACUUAAAUGUCACUUAAAUGCAAACUAUAUAUUUAGGUGAAAACCAAAUCAAAUAGCAAUAAAAAACCACUAAUUAGCCCAAAACUUGGAAACCACUAAGCCCACCAAUGAUUUAUGUCCUGUCCACAAGUCGAGAAGAGUCAAGUGACCUUUGACUUCUCUUUUAAC